GUUCGAGAGGGUCUGUGGGAGUCCCAAGACCAUGGACUUGGCCGUGGGCUGACCAUCACUCUCACGGGCUAUGAAAAGAGAAGGGGAAGGGGAAGAAAACCGAUGGCAGAGCCUUGGGUAUUGAUGAGAACGAGCUGGGAUCCUGAUGCAGAUGAGAAGAUGUGUGAGCAAACAAGUGGAAACUGAAAGAACAUGGAGUGUUUCUAAGGAAUAUGACGAAUCUGGCCAACUGUGGACCAGGGAGGCUUCCUGUGACCCAAUCUCUCAAGUGCCCAGCCAAGAACCCAGGGCUCCUGGCUCCACGCCCAGCAUGGAAUUCAACAUGGGGCUUGAACUCAACGACCUCGAGAUCAAGACCUGAGCUGAGAUCAAGAGUUGGAUGCUUAACUGACUGAGCCACUCAGGUGCCCUGAAGAGGAUAAUUACUGAAGAGCUUUCACCAGGCCAGGGACACUUUGUGCAAAUCCAGCCUUCACUCUUCACUCCUGUCUCCCUCAGAGGCUGUCCCACUUGCCACCGGGGCCAGUGCUUUUAGAGCAGACCUUCGAGUUAUAACCUUGCCUUGGAAGGCUGCAGAAGUGUGCAGAAGAUCCAACCUGAGACCCUUGGGCUGUUCCAGCUUCCAACACACAGGAGUGAAGGUAAAGGCCACAGCUGUGGUCUCCAGAGGCAGGAAACACCAUCCCUUCUCUUGAGACAUGGGCUAGACAUUGUGCUGCAUUGUUGGGUCAGCAAUGUGUACCAGAAUUCU